AAUGAACGCUGGCGGCAGGCCUAACACAUGCAAGUCGAACGGAUCCUUCGGGAUUAGUGGCGGACGGGUGAGUAACGCGUGGGAACAUACCCAAAGGUACGGAAUAGCCUCGGGAAACUGGGAGUAAUACCGUAUGUGCUCGAAAGAGGAAAGAUUUAUCGCCUUUGGAUUGGCCCGCGUUGGAUUAGGUAGUUGGUGGGGUAAUGGCCUACCAAGCCGACGAUCCAUAGCUGGUUUGAGAGGAUGAUCAGCCACACUGGGACUGAGACACGGCCCAGACUCCUACGGGAUGCAGCAAUGGGGAAUCUUAGACAAUGGGGGAAACCCUGAUCUAGCCAUGCCGCGUGAUCGAUGAAGGCCUUAGGGUUGUAAAGAUCUUUCAGGUGGGAAGAUAAUGACUGUACCACCAGAAGAAGCCCCGGCUAACUCCGUGCCAGCCGCCGCAGUAA
rnacentral:rRNA from 1 species